rnacentral:rRNA from 1 species
GACGAACGCUGGUGGCGUGCUUAACACAUGCAAGUCGAACGAUGAAGCCGGAGCUUGCUCUGGUGAAUUAGUGGCGAACGGGUGAGUAACACGUGAGUAACCUGCACUUGACACUGGGAUAACUGCUAGAAAUGGUAGCUAAUACCGGAAACGACACUCGGAGCCAUCGCCAGGGGGUGGAGAGAGGUUCGGUGACGGAUGGACUCGCGGCAUAUCAGCGAGUGGGUGAGGUAAUGACACACCAAGGCGACGACGGGUAGCCGGCCUGCGAGGGUGACCGGCCACACUGGGACUGAGACACGGCCCAGACUCCUACGGGAGGCAGCAGUGGGGAAUAUUGCACAAUGGGCGCAAGCCUGAUGCAGCAACGCCGCGUGAGGGAUGACGGCCUUCGGGUUGUAAACCUCUUUUAGUAGGUAAGAAGCGAAAGUGACGGUACCUGCAGAAAAAGCACCGGCUAACUACGUGCCAGCCGCCGCCGUAA